GUAAUCCAUGUGACGCAGUAUUCUAGUCAGACAGCUUCUCCCUAGGAUGGACCUAAAAAGCCAUCGAAGGGCACAUCGAUGAAGUCUCUGGUGCUUGCUUCUUACGCCCAGUUUGGGGUGGGUGCUGGAGGUUAAGGCUUUCGGGCGCGUUUCAAUGGCAUGAAAUACCGACCCGGUUGCCGUGGAGACCCGACUCUGUGGAGCACCUAUAGCAUUCUGAAUGAAUUGAUGGAUGCUUUACGGACCGGGGUGAAACCUGUAUUGCGGUGCAGCGAAAGACGUAAGGAACCUUGUCCAAUAGGAAGUUCUGUGCGACGCCUCAACGUGCUGUGUACAGAGUAGCCUGCCUUGCGUGGUUAUGGUGGAUGGGAUACCCACCUUCAUAGCUAUGGCCAUAGCUAUGAAGGCAUUGAUCGCUGAAACCAUAGUUGCAAAAGAGGCUAAGGAGAAUGCUGAAUCUGUCGUGGAAAACACCUAGACUGUCUGUGAUACGGGCGGGCGUGGGAUUGCAGUGCGGACUCAGUGGCAAUUCGGUCCCGGAUGUGGUAACACUCCGGCGCAGACUUUAAAGGGAAACCACCGGAGCGGCGACGCACGGCAGUUUUCGGGGAAAUCCAACCGAACCUAAGCCGCAAGAUUUACCACCCCCGCUGUCACAUUUUUAU
rnacentral:sRNA from 1 species